rnacentral:lncRNA from 1 species
GGCCAUUUCUCAUGGAAAAUCAGGAAAAGAGAAUGAAACAUUAAUUUUCAUGUUGAGUUAUUACAGACAUCAGCAGUAUGGACCAAGCACCCAUGAGAUAACGAGUCCUGAACUGGGCACCAAGAGAGGGUCACAGAUAUAAAGAGUUUGCCUUGAGUCUCAGAUGAAACUUUGAAUAUUGGACAUUUGAGUUGAUGCUGGAACAAGUUAAGAGUUUUGAAGACUAUGGGAUAGAAUGACUAUAUUCAACACUGAAAGAACGAAGACAAUGGCUCUUCCAGAGGAAGAAAGAUUAUCCUGUCCUGGCUAUCUUGUCUAUUACCAACAUUCCAGGAUGAAGAAAUAUGGUGAUACACUCAGGCCACUGGAAUGGCCUCCAGUACAGCAGUGAAUACCAGUGGAAUGCAACUUCUUUUGCUUUAGAAGACAAGCUCUUAGCAAUGUCAAGUUUCCAGGUACGACCGAGAGAUAUUCAACAUAUUAUAAUUUCCACUAAGAUGGGAAACAUUUCCUAGGGGUUAUUUCUCUUUGACAGCAGAGAAGUAUCCAAGUUAUUCUAGAUAAUAAAGCAAAGUUUUCCUCAAGUCCUGUAUUAUAUGAGACUGCUGUUUCUGAAAAUUAUAGUCCCACAGCAACCUACGAAGUUUAGAGAUCAAUAUUUGAUUUUUCUAUCUUGCUAAAUAUUCUUCAAAUCAAGUAUUAGUUGUCCCUGUCACUCAGCAUGAAGAAAAACUGUGUUAAAGAGGACCUGGAGAAGUAAACUGACUACUGACUUACCAGACUCCAGAACUAUAACAAGUAAAUUUCUGUUGUUUAUAAGCUACCCAGAUUAUCGGGUUUUGUUUUAGCAGCCCAGGUGGACUAAGGCAAGGGUUCUUUUUGCUUUUUCCAUAUAUUUGUGUUUGUGUAUAUGUAUAUGUGAGAUAGAAAAAAAGAAUUUGUUAUGAUUCAUCACAGAGUUAAAAUAUUUUAAGAAUAUAAACUUUUCUACAAAAAUGUAAUUCAAGUUUUAGUGAGAAAGUUAUGUAAAAUGAAUGUAUAUAAAACAACUCUUCCUAGAGGACACCUGUUCUGGCAGGUGAGAAACUGAUAGCGAUGUGCUGCACUGAGAAGAUAAAUGUAACCAGCAUACUCAGUAGCAUCUUCAUAUACUUCUUUUGGAGGAAGCUCAUCAAACUAAGGUGUGGCUUCCCCACUCAGGCCUUUGCUGGCGAUCCAGCCUCACUAUUCUUCUUUCUUUGUGCUGUUACUCUUCCAGGUAGCCCUCUGCUUUUGAUCACUAGGUUUUUCUUUUCCAUCUCUGUAUUUCCUUGGUAGAAGGGACAGUAUGAACAAAGCUGGAAUUCAAUCUGUUCACACUUUUGUACUGAAAAUAUGUAAGUAUCCUUCAAUACUAUGUGUUAUAUAAAAAAUUACUAACCAUAAAAUAAUUGUCAGGAAAACCCAACCUUCCUAUUGACAGUUUUACCAAAGCAUCAAAAAUAAAUUUGUUUCCAAUAAAGUGCUUGAUCCUUAUGCAUACAUGCAGGGCAACUACUGAAUCUCCAAUCAGUGACCAUGAAUAAUACUUUUGUUUUUUGGCCUUGAACCUAUUGCAUAUGUUCUAGCCACUUCCUCUUCCUGGGGAAACAUUGAUUUUCUUAUGAAAAACAGCUCUCCAAUCAGGAAAUGGUAUGUGCCUUAUUAAGAAAUACUUUGAUCUGAAUGUUUGUGACCCCUCUAAAUUUAUGGGUUGGAAUCCUAACCCCCAAGGUGAUGUAUUAGAAGAUGGAGAUUUGGGGGACAUGAUUUGGUAAUGAGGAUGUAACCCUCAUGAAUAGAAUUAGUAUCCUUAUAAAUGAGGAACCAGAGAACUACCUUGUCCCUUUCACUAUAUGAGGACACAGCUAGAGGACACCUUCUAUGAAUCCGGAAAUGGAUCCUCAACGAGACACUUCAUCAGCAGAUGCCUUAUCUUGGACUUCCCAGCCUCCAGAAUUAUAACAAAUAAAUUUCUGUUGUUUAUAAAAAAAAAAAAAAAAAAAAAAA